GACGGAUGGGGCUAGCGUUGUUCGGAAUUACUGGGCGUAAAGGGUGCGUAGGCGGUUCGUUAAGUCUGUCGUGAAAUCCCCGGGCUCAACCUGGGAAUGGCGAUGGAUACUGGCGAGCUAGAGUGUGUCAGAGGAUGGUGGAAUUCCCGGUGUAGCGGUGAAAUGCGUAGAGAUCGGGAGGAACAUCAGUGGCGAAGGCGGCCAUCUGGGACAACACUGACGCUGAAGCACGAAAGCGUGGGGAGCAAACAGG
rnacentral:rRNA from 1 species